rnacentral:misc_RNA from 1 species
CGCACAUUGCGCCCUUUGGUAUUCCGAAGGGCAUGCCUGUUCGAGCGUCAUUAUCACCCCUCAAGCCCGGCUUGGUGUUGGACCGCCGGUCAGAACUUGUUUCUGGCUCGUCCCAAAGAUAAUGACGGCGUCUGUGAGGCCCCCAGUACAUUGAGCUUUUCGUGAGCACGUACUCGGUUUGGACCCUCAGGCCCGGUCUCCCCGUAACUUUACACCUUAAAGUUGACCUCGGAUCAGGUAGGAAUACCCGCUGAACUUAA